rnacentral:rRNA from 1 species
AACGAACGCUGGCGGCAUGCCUAACACAUGCAAGUCGAACGAGAUCUUCGGGUCUAGUGGCGCACGGGUGCGUAACGCGUGGGAAUCUGCCCGUUGGUUCGGAAUAACAGUUGGAAACGGCUGCUAAUACCGGAUGAUGACGAAAGUCAAAAGAUUUAUCGCCAGAGGAUGAGCCCGCGUAGGAUUAGCUAGUUGGUGUGGUAAGGGCGCACCAAGGCGACGAUCCUUAGCUGGUCUGAGAGGAUGAUCAGCCACACUGGGACUGAGACACGGCCCAGACUCCUACGGGAGGCAGCAGUGGGGAAUAUUGGACAAUGGGCGAAAGCCUGAUCCAGCAAUGCCGCGUGAGUGAUGAAUGCCUUAGGGUUGUAAAGCACUUUUACCCGGGAUGAUAAUGACAGUACCGGGAGAAUAAGCUCCGGCUAACUCCGUGCCAGCCGCCGCCGUAA